rnacentral:rRNA from 1 species
AGAAUCAACGCUGGCGGCGUGCCUAACACAUGCAAGUCGAACGAGAAAGUGGAGCAAUCCAUGAGUAAAGUGGCGACCGGGUGAGUAACACGUGACUAACCUACCUUCAAGUGGGGGAUAACCUCGGGAAACCGGGGCUAAUACCGCAUAACAUCUUUGGAGUGGAAAUUCUGGAGAUCAAAGGAGCAAUUCGCUGGAAGAGGGGGUCGCGGCUGAUUAGCUAGUUGGCGGGGUAAUGGCCCACCAAGGCUUUGAUCGGUAGCCGGCCUGAGAGGGCGCACGGCCACACUGGAACUGAAACACGGCCCAGACUCCUACGGGAGGCAGCAGUGGGGAAUAUUGCACAAUGGGCGCAAGCCUGAUGCAGCGACGCCGCGUGAGGGAUGAAGGCCUUCGGGUUGUAAACCUCUUUCAGUAGGGAACAAGGCCGGCUUUUGGUUGGUUGAGGGUACCUGCAAAAGAGCGCCGGCUAACUACGUGCCAGCAGCCGCGGU